ACCGGCGCACGGGUGCGGAACGCGUAUCGAACCUGCCCCCUUCAGGGGAACAGCCCAUGGAAACGUGGAUUAAUGCCCCAUGGCAACACGGUAUCGCAUGAUAUUGUGUUUAAAGAUUUAUCGGAAGGGGAUGGCGAUGCGUAUCAUUAGCUAGUUGGUAAGGUAACGGCUUACCAAGGCAACGAUGAUUAGGGGCCCUGAGAGGGGGAUCCCCCACACUGGUACUGAGACACGGACCAGACUCCUACGGGAGGCAGCAGUGAGGAAUAUUGGACAAUGGCCGGAAGGUUGAUCCAGCCAUGCCGCGUGCAGGAUGACUGCCCUAUGGGUUGUAAACUGCUUUUAUACGGGAAGAAACCUCCCCUCGUGAGGGGAGCUGACGGUACCGUAAGAAUAAGGACCGGCUAACUCCGUGCCAGCAGCCGCGGUAAUACGGAGGGUCCGAGCGU
rnacentral:rRNA from 1 species